rnacentral:rRNA from 1 species
CCUACGGGGGGCUGCAGUGGGGAAUAUUGCACAAUGGGGGAAACCCUGAUGCAGCAACGCCGCGUGAGUGAAGAAGUAUUUCGGUAUGUAAAGCUCUAUCAGCAGGGAAGAAGAAAGACGGUACCUGACUAAGAAGCACCGGCUAACUACGUGCCAGCAGCCGCGGUAAUACGUAGGGGGCAAGCGUUAGCCGGAUUGACUGGGUGUAAAGGGAGCGUAGACGGGUGUGCAAGUCUGAAGUGAAAGCCCGGGGCUCAACCGCGGAACUGCUUUGGAGACUGGAUAGCUUGAGUACUGUAGAGGCAGGCGGAAUUCCUAGUGUAGCGGUGAAAUGUGUAGAGAUUAGGAGGAACACCAGUGGCGAAGGCGGCCUGCUGGACAGAAACUGACGUUGAGGUUCGAAAGCGUGGGGAGCAAACAGGAUUAGAUACCCUGGUAGUC